UUGGGUACUAGUUUAAAACAAAACCUAGGCUUUGGAAGCUUAAGAUCCAAGAUUUAUACCUUGA
rnacentral:tRNA from 1 species